rnacentral:lncRNA from 1 species
AGUCCAGGCAGCCACCAGCUGGCCUGGUCUUGCUGCUUCCUUUAGCGGCUUCCAAGGUCCAGGGACAGGGGGUCUGGGCCACCAAGAGGCUCUGCUAGGCUGUCCCUGCAGCCACAGCCACCCCACUGGACCCCUGCCUCCCAUCUGAGAGGACAGCCCUCUUCCUGGAGCUGGGAUCUGACACUUGCUGAUACCAACGGCAGAUACCAGGUGAGGAAACUGAGGCUCAGAGAAGAAACAUCAUUUUCCCAGUGAGCCAAGGCAAUGGUGUUAGAACUAUCUCUACCUGGCUCCAGAGCUUGUGUUUAUGCCCCUGCACCGAUACGGCCUUCCAUGAAGCCCGGCCCAGAAAGCUUUGGAGUCUGGUUACAUCUCUGCCAUGCAGGCCUGGCCUUCCCAGGACAAGAGGUAACGAGAUGUGAGCAGAAACAACCUGUGUCACACCUGGGCAGAAGCUUUAAAGGCCAGUGCUGCCCUUGUUGGGGAAGCAAGUAUAGAUAUGAAUCGUUCCACAACGCGGAGCGCCCCCUGCCGACCCAUGCUGGGCGUGUACUAUAGAUGAGGAGACUGAGGAUCAGAGAGAUAAAGUCACCUGUCCAAGGUCAUACUGUGGAUGUAGCUCUAACCCAAGCCCUCCCGACUGCAGCACAAAUUCUCAGCCACUACCCUAUUAGCCCCUUCAUUUGAAGGUGUCUUCAUCAUUGCCAAGAUUCCUUUUCCUCCCGGCCCCCUAAGUCUUCAGGAUUCCCUCAUCUCAUCUCCCCAGAGAAGCCAUGACACCAUCUUCUCCAAAAACAAAGUCAGCGCUUUCACUGUAGAUGGACCUGUGUUCUUCCCCCAAACUCAGUCCACCUCAUCUCCAGAAAAACUAUAUGACUUGCCCUGGAGAAGAGGGGGAAAAAAAAACCUCUUCCCACCAACUCCACCUCCCAAAUUACUGGAUUUGGGGUAAAUUUACAGGCUGGAGACAGAAGAAUGGAUGUGUAUUUAGCUUUCAAAUUGACUAUUGUUUUAUGUGAAUGUCUGAUAAAGAAAACACAAUGGCUGCCAGAUGGGGCCUGGGAGUGAGAUUUCCCAUGUGGAGAAUUCUAGAAGACAUGCCUGGAGUUCUGGAGCCUGGAUCCUCUGGACAGACAGGUGGCCAGCUAACCAGGGUGGAGGCACCAAAGAUAACUGUGGGGUGGGGAGAAGACACCAGCCCAAGAGAUUUGACUGGGAUUGGUCUACGCAAGAAUGGAAAAUGGAGGCAGAAUGAGUUAGCAGCAAGCACACGUACACUGCUAUAGAAUCUGAGGGACCCGGCCAGUGCUGGCCAAUAGAAAUAGAAUGUGAGCCACAGACAUAAUUUAAACUUUUCUUGUAGUCACUUAAAAACAUGGUAAAUCUAUGAAAUAGAAGAUUGCUCGUGCAAAUAAAUGAACUCUGCUUUGGUCUCAGUGAUCAGGGGUCCCACACUCAAGUGCCCUCAAUACCCAGAGAAGUAACUGAAAUAAAUGGAACAGAUAGGGUGUGAGCAAAGUUCACACGUUCCUCUAAGAAAAACAAUACAGCAAACAUGGUGAUUUAUGUUCAUUAAUAAGUUUCCGUAUGGGGACACUAAGGAAUAGUGGGGACUACGGCAAAUUAGAGGAAGCAUGAGAAUCUAAAGUGGCUCCAGGAGACUGUUGUCUCAUAGGUAUCAGUGUUGCUAGACCUUCACUUUUUUUAAAGGAGGUGAAAGUUGGGAUUUUCUUUAAUUUAUUUUUUUGACAGGGUCUUGCUCUGUCGCCCAGGCUGGAGUGCAGUGGCGAUCUUGGCUCACGGCAAUCUCCACCUCCUGGGUUCAAGAGAUUCUCCUGCCCCAGCCUCCUAAGUAGCUGGGAUUACAGGCGUGCUCCAGCAUGCCUGGCUAAUUUUUGCAUUUUUAGUAGAGAUGGGAUUUCCCACUGUUGGCCAAGCUGAUCUCGAAUUCCUGACCUCAAGUGAUCUGCCCACCUCCACCUCCCAAAGUGCUGGGAUUACAGGUGUGAGCCACCGGGCCCAGCCUCUAAUUUUUGUAUUUUUUGUAGAGACAGAAUCUUGCUGUGUUCAAGACCAGCCUGGCCAACAUGGCGAAACCCCGUCUCUACUAAAAAUACAAAAAUUAGCUGGGCAGUAGUGGCACGCGCCUGUAAUCCCAGCUACUCCAGAGGCUGAGGCAGGAGAAUUACUUGAACCUGGGAGGCGGAGAUUGCAGUGAGCCCAGAUCGAACCAUUGCAUUCCAGCCUCGGCGACAAGAUUGAGACUCCGUCUCAAAAACAAAAAGCAACAACAAAAAAAAUUGUUUGAAAGCCACUAAUCUGCCCAUAGCCUCUAACUUACAAGUAAGGAAGCUAAGGCCUACAAAUGUCAAGUACCUGAGAUCCUGUGUGUGUCAGGGCUAGAGCUGGGACCACAACCUGCUCCCAGCGCUGAGCCCUGCAGGCAGCUGGGUUUGCCUGGGAAGCUGCCCAGGGGAGCACCCAGGCCUCCCUCCAGUUUCUCUGGCUCUGCCCAGGGCAGGGCCGCCUGCUCUCUCCCUGUCUCCCCACCUCCUCUGCCCUUCGUCAUGCCUGUUUUGACAACUUUCUGACCUGCUCCUUCACAAACUCUGCUGGAGGUAUGGCUGCCUCCACUGCUUGUCCCAGAGAAUACAGAGGCGUUGGCAGUUUGGCGGCCCAGGCUCAGCCAGGCCCAUGGCAGACAGUCGUCAAACAGUGGCUGUCUGGGGAGAGAGAGGUCUGUUUACCCAGGGCAAGGCCCAGGCAGAGGCUGCCGUUUCCUCCCUCCACUACUGGCCCAUCCAGCUGCUCACCCUACUGACUCAGCUGUCCCCAUCUGUAUUUGCUCAUUCCGCAAAUACUUAUGGGGCGCCUACUGUGUGUCAAGCACUGUUCUACAUGCUGGGGAUACAGCAGGGGACAAGACAGCCUAACUCCCUGCUGUCAUGGAACUUCUGUGAAGGAGACAGAUGAUAAACAGAUCAAGGAAUACGUAAUUUCAGCGCUGUAGAGGAUAAUGGAAUUGCUAUCAAGGGAUGGAGGUGGGGCAGGCUUAGAUUUGGGUGUUCAAGGGAGGCUGCUCUGAGUGGAGGACAUUUGAACUAAGGCCCUGACAAUGAGAAGAAAUCAGCUAUGCAAAGAUCUGGGGAAGAGGCAUUCCUGGCAGAGAGAACAGCAAGUACAAAGGCCCAAUGGCAGGAGUGUGCUUGGCGUGAUUGAAGGAUUGUCAAAAGGCCAGUGUGGCUGGGCGUUGUGGCUCACGCCUGUAAUCCCAGCACUUCGGGAGGCCGAGGCGGGCAGGUCACAAGGUCAGGAGAUCGAGACCAUCCUGGCUAACACGGUGAAACCCCGUCUCUACUAAAAAUACAAAAAAUUAGCCGGGCGCAGUGGCGGGCGCCUGUAGUCCCAGCUACUUGGGGGGGCUGAGGCGGGAGAAUGGCGUGAACCCGGGAGGCGGAGCUUGCAGUGAGCCGAGAUCGCGCCACCGCACUCCAGCCUGGGUGAAAGAGUGAGACUCCGUCGCAAAACAAACAAACAAACAAAAAAAACAAAAGUCCAGUGUGGCUGACUGCAGUGACCAAAGGGAGAAAGACGAGAGACCAUCAGACAAGAGUCAGAGCCUGUGAGAGCCUUUUGGUCAAAGAAAAGAGCCCAGGGCCGGGCGCGGCGGCUCACGGGAGGCCAAGGUGGACAAAUCGCUUGAGGUCAGGAGUUUGAGACCAGCCUGGCAACAUGGUAAAACCCUGACUCUAUUAAAAAUACAAAAAUUGCUGGGCAUGGUGACACGCGCCUGUAAUCCCAGCUUCUUGGGAGGCGGAGGUUGCAGUGAGCCAAGAUCAUGCCACUGCACUCUAGCCUGGAUGACAGAGUGAGACUCCAACUCAGAAAAACAAAAGAAAGAAAGAAAGAAAAAGAGCUCAGGUUGUAUUUGAAGGGCGAUACAAAGCUGUUGGAGGAGUUUCAGCUGGGAUGUGAAACAUGGCUGUACUCUGACCUUCUCUAACUCUGCCCCAUUCCCUUCAUGACUUCCUGUCCCAACUGUUUCCAGGUACAUUUGAGAUUGUUUGAAAUAGCGUUUAAAUAUUUUCUUUUCCUUUUAAAUUUUCAUUUAUUUAUUUAUUUUCCUUUCUCUUUUUUUGAGGCAGGGUCUCAGUCUAUCAUCCAAGCUGGAGUGCAGUGGCAUGAUGUUUGUUCACUACAGCCUCGACCUCCUGGGUUCAAACGAUCCCCCCACUCAUCCUCCCAAAAUGCCAGGAUUACAGCAUUUUGAGCCACUGUGGCCGGCCCAGUUUUUUUUUUUUUUUUUUUUUUUUUUUUUGAGAUGGAGUUUUGCUCUUGUUGCCCAGGCUGGAAUGCAAUGGCGUGAUCUCAGCUCACUGAAACCUCCACCUCCCACAUUCAAGAGAUUCUCCUGCCUCAGCCUCCACAGUAGCAGGGAUUACAGGUGCCCGCCACUAUGCCCAGCUAAUUUUUUUGGUAUUAUUAGUAGAGACAGGGUUUCACCAUGUUGGCCAGGCUGGUCUCGAACUCCUGACCUUGUGAUCUGCCCGCCUCGGCCUCCCAAAGUGCUGGGAUUACAGGCGUGAGCCACCGUGCCCAGCCUCUUGUUUGUAUUUCUAAACAUCAUGGUUAUACUGACUUCUCAAGAAAUCAAGACUUCUUGAUUUUUUAGUUAUAGACGUAAUGUGUUAACUUGCUAGUAAGAAAGAUCCUAUACAACUAUAUCCCAAUUUGGAGAUAAAUCAAUAUUUUAAAUUGCAUAACCACAUUACUAUUAUGGCUAUUACUCACAGCUGACUUUGUCUGUAUGUGAACCAAGGUCUUUCCAUGCACUGUUUCAAUUAAUCUUCACUGUAACAUGGUAAUGUAGCUUUGGUCAAUAUCAUUAACAAUACAUACUAACAUUUUACAUUCAAGGAACUUUUUGCAGUUUGCAGGACACUCUUGCCUCUAUCCCCUUGAGCAGCAGAGCUACCCUGAGGGGUAAAUAGAACUAGCAUUAUUAACCCCAUUUUCAGAGGAGGAUGUGGAUCCCAGAAUGAUACAGAAAAUUCUACCCAUCCCAGUAGGGCCCAGUGGUUCAAAUAAAACCCAUCUUCCUGGCAGGGCCUGGUGGCUCACACUUAUAAUCCCAGCACUUUGGGAGGCCGAGGCAGGUGGAUCACUUGAGGUCAUGAGUUCGACACCAGCCUGGCCAACAUGGCAAAAUCCCAUCUCUACUAAAAAUAUAAAAAUUAGCUGGGUGUGGUAAUGCAAACCUGUAAUCCCAGCCACUCAGGAAGCUGAGGCACGAGAAUUGUUUGAACCCAGGAGGUGGAGGUUGUGAUGAGCCAAGAUGGUACCACCGCACUCCAGCCUGGGCCACAGAGUGAGACCCUGUCUCAAAAAAAAAAAAAAAAAAAAAAAAUAUAUAUAUAUAUAUAUAUGUAUAUACACACACACACACAUAUAUGUAUACACACACACACACACACACACACAUAUAUAUAUAUAUUUAUGUCUCAAAAAAAAAAAGCCCAUCUUCCAUCUAGGGAGGAAGGAGUUGGGGACCCUGGACAACUGCGUGAAGGAGAGAUAAACUCUCCUCUCGUGUUUUGGGUUGAUAAGCUGGUAUUGCCUUUUCUAAUACAAUCCUUGAUGUUGAAUUCUAGCUCCGCCUCUCAUGCGCUGCGUGGUUUUGAGUAAGCUAUUUAGUCUCUCUGAGACUUUGUUUUCUCAGAAAUGGGUAUGAUGACAGUACCUACCUCAAUAGACGGUUGUGAGGAUUAAAGGAGUAAUUUAUUUAUUUAUUUAUUUUCUCACUUUGUAGCUCAGGCUGGUCUUGAACUCCUAACCUUAAGUGAGCCUCUUGCCUCAGCCUCCCAAAGUGCUGGGAUUUAAGUGUGCGCCACCAUGUCUGGCCAAGGAGUUAAUUUUUUUUUUUUUUUUGAGACGGAGUGUUGCUCUGUUACCAGGCUGGAGUGCAGUGGUGCGAUCUUGGCUCACUGCAACCUCCGCCUCCUGGGUUCAAGCGAUUCUCCUGUCUCAGCCUCCUGAGUAGCUGGGACUACAGCCAUGUGCCACACCCAGCUAAUUUUUGUAAUUUUAGUAAAGACGGCAUUUCACCAUGUUGGCCAGGAUGGUCUCAAUCUCUUGACCUCAUGAUCUGUCUGCCUCGGCCUCUCAAAGUGCUGGGAUUACAGGUGUUAGCCACCGUGCCUGGCCAAGAAGUUAAUUUUUUUUUUUUUUUUUUGAGACAGAGUUUCGCUUUUGUUGCCCAGGCUGGAGUGCAAUGGCGCGAUCUCGGCUCACCGCAACCUCCGCCUCCUGGGUUCAAGUGAUUCUCCUGCCUCAGCCUCCCGAGUAGCUGGGAUUACAGGCAAGCACCACCACUCCUGGCUAAUUUUGUAUUUUUGGUAGAGAUGGGGUUUCUCCAUGUUGGUCAGGCUGGUCUUGAACUCCUGACCUCAGGUGAUCCACUCACCUUGGCCUCCAAAAGUGUUGGGAUUACAGGCGUGAGCCACCGCACCCGGCCAGGAGUUAAUUUUUAUAAAGUGCUUAGAGUAGUACCUGGGCCAUGGUGUUAUACAAGGAUGAAAAACAACCUAGUGCUAGAAAACAAAUGAGCCGGGUCCCAGAUCUGGGCCUUCUGAUGCCAGGUUUAGUGUGUGGCCCCCAAGCCCUAGACACUUGUAUUCCUCUUCAUACAAUUGUUACCACAUCUGCCUUUUACCUGUACUUUAUUUAUCUAUAAUUGUUUACUUGAUGUUUUCCUUUCUUUUGAAGAUAUACCUUAAUUUUUAAAAGAUAUUUUAUAUUAAUGCUUUAAUAUGCUAUGUAUAAAUUUUUCUAACAUACAAUAAAUGCACAAAGAUUUAAAAGUGUUUGUGGACUACCUACAAUUGGCCCCUGUACUUUGUGGGUUCACCUAAUACAAAGUAUGCUGUUUUUUUUGUUUUUUUCUUUUUGACACAGGAUCUCGCUCUGUUGCCCAGGUUGGAGUACAGUGGCGUGAUCUUGGCUCACUGCAAUCUCCACCUCCUGGGUUUAAGAGAUUCUCCUGCCUCAGCCUCCUGAGUAGCUGGGAUUACAGGUGCGUGCCACCAUGCCCAGCUAAUUUUUGAAUUUUUAGUAGAGAUGGGAUUUCAGCAUGUUGGCCAGGCUGGUCUUGAACUCCUGACCUCAAGUGAUCCGCCCACCUUGGGCUCCCAAAGUACUAGGAUUACAGGCGUGUGCCACUGCGCCCGGCCAAUAGGGACAUUUUGAGAAUUAGGAGUUAAUAUGUGUAAAACCCUAGUAAGUACUCUAUAAAUUUUUGCUAUUAUCACAACAUCAAGCACAAAUCCAUAAAUAUACAUAAAUAAAACAAAAGUUUCAAAAACAUACAUAUCUUACUCUUACUACAUGAAAUGCUCUAUGAUAUUUUCUAUUUUAUUUUAUUUCAUUCUUUUGUUAAAAUGUGAAAUUUCAUAAAGCGAUACAUUGAUGAUUUGUGCCUUUUUCUGUUUUGAAUGUUAUACUUCAGUAAAAAUAUUUUUUAAGUCCAGGUGUGGUGGCAAUUUUUCUGCCUUGACCUCCCAAAGCACUAGGAUUACGCUGUGUCACCCAGGCUGGAGUGUGGUGUUGUAAUCUCGGCUCACAGCAACCUUCACCUCUUGGGCUCAAGCAAUCCUCUUGCCUCAGCCUCCCGAGUAGGUGGGACUACAGGCGUGUACCACCAGGCCCAGCUAAUUUUUGUGUUUUUUGUAGAGGUGGGUUUUUGCCAUAUUGCCCAGGCUGGUCUUGAACUCCUGGGGUCAAGUGAUUCACCCACCUCAGCCUCCCAAAGUGCUGGGAUUACAGGCAUGAGCCACGGCGUCCGGCCAAAUCUUACUUUAGUUAUAACUUAUUGUUUUAGUCUACUUAUAGGUCUAGUAAAUUUUAAGAAUUUCAUUUUCUCCAAUAUUUUACUUUGAAAAAUUUCAAACUUUAAAGUUUGAAAGACUAGUAUAGUGAGCACUGAUGUAUCCCUUCGCCUAAAUUCACCAACUGGUUGCAUUCUGUCACAUUUGCUUUAUUGCUAUCUCUGUAUCUAUCUAUGCACUUUUUUAUUGAAACAUUUUAUGUAAAAAAUUGUAAAGGCCAGGUGCAGUAGCUCACACCUGUAAUCCCGGCAUUUUGGGAGGCUGAUGCAGGAAGAUUGAGGACAGGAGUAGGAAACCAGCCUGUGCAACACAGCAAGACCUGUCACUACAAAAAAAUAAAAAUAAAAAAUUAGCUGGGCAUGGUGGCAUGCACCUGUGGUCCCAGCUACUUGGGAGGCUUAGAUGGAAGGAUUGCUUGAGCUUGGGAGGUUGAGGCUGCAGUGAACCAUGAUUGUGGCUCACUGUAGCCCACAUGACAGAGCAAGACCCUGUUUCAAAAACAACAACAAAACAAAAACAAACCAAAAAAAAAAGAUACUUUUUUAAAUUGUAUAUUUACACUUGUUAUACAUAUUUAACGUGUGUGUGUGGAGGGACGUGUGAGCAUGACCCUACUGCACAGACGAUCAACUGUGUACCAACUAAUUCACGCUCCCCUUUACAAACUUUACAGCUAGUCCCGCCCCGCUAGGGACCACAUCUUCCAGACCCCCUUGCAUUUGGCAAGGGCCAUGUGACUAGUUCUCACCAAUGGAAUGUGAGUAGAAGUGAAAGUGUCUUUCUGGGCUAGGGUGACCUUAGGGGUCCCUGGAUGACUAUGCCACAGAGGUCAAUAAACUUCUAACUUAAAGUCUGCAUUUGCUUGUUACAUAAGCUAUAUUGUCUGAACUAAUAUAAUCCCAAUAAAUUGAAGGACCGGCUGGGCACGGUGGCUCACACCUGUAACCCCAGCACUUUGGGAGGUCGGGGCAGGUGGAUC